rnacentral:rRNA from 1 species
CAGUCGCCGCGGUAAUACGUAGGUGGCAAGCGUUAUCCGGAAUGAUUGGGCGUAAAGGGCUCGCAGGCGGUUUCUUAAGUCUGAUGUGAAAGCCCCCGGCUCAACCGGGGAGGGUCAUUGGAAACUGGGAAACUUGAGUGCAGAAGAGGAGAGUGGAAUUCCACGUGUAGCGGUGAAAUGCGUAGAGAUGUGGAGGAACACCAGUGGCGAAGGCGACUCUCUGGUCUGUAACUGACGCUGAGGAGCGAAAGCGUGGGGAGCGAACAGGAUUAGAUACCCCCGUAGUCCCUGUCUCUUAUAC